GGACGGGAUGUUCUCUGAGGGUCCGCUGUUGGGGUUUUGUAAAGUUCAUCUCUGACGAUUAUACUGAAGAGAUGUACAUAAAGCAGAAGAUGCAGUGAGUUCAUUGAUGGUUUCUGUGCUUGGCCACGUUACAGUGCCGUCAUCCAGCCUUCAAGCAUGGUUCAGAAGCCAUGAACCACAAAUCAGCAUGUUUCCUUCCAGUUUCCAAUGAGCACUCUGACAGCAUCACUUAGCAUGCCAGUAUUCAACAUUGUGCAGAUCAUCUCUGUAAAGAUGGCUGUGUUGCUUCAGUUGCCACAUCUCUACGUAUGUUCUUCCUGUUAGCAAAGGCACACUGUGACAGCAUCCACUUUCUACAUGCUAAUACAUGCACAGUAUUGUUCAGGGAAAGACAUAUGCAAACCUAUCAGCUUCCAAAGUCGGCAACAUCCUGCUGUCACUACAGUCUCAGCACCUACCAGCUCCCACUCUGUCAGCAACAUCCUGCUGUCACAUGUCCAGCUACCGGUACUUGAAGUUACUGUGUGCUUGUACAUUCUCAGCACCUACUAGCUCUCACUCUGUCGGCAACAUCCUGCUGUCACAUGUCCAGCUAUUGGUACUCGGAGUUACUAUUUGCUUAUACUUUCUCAGCACCUACCAGCUCCCACUCUGUCAGCAACAUCCUGUCCAGCUACCGGCACUUGGAGUUAUAGUGUGCUUGUACAUUCUCAGCACCUACUAGCUCCCACUCUGUCAACAACAUCCUGCUGUCACACCUCCAGAUAUGUGGAGUUAUUGUGCUUUUACAGUCUCAGCCAGUAUUGGAUUGCAAGUUGUCUUAUGCUGCUACAACCUACACAUUUAGCAUUCUCUUGAACCUUGAGGAACCACCAUAUGAACAAAGAGACAGUCUCUGAAACACUCAUAAUAAACCUGUCACGGUGGUUUGUUGAACAUUCGUAUUAUUUGGAGGACUUGCAAUUAGCUCAUAUAGUCAACUAGCUAUUCCAGUCCUCUGGAAGAGUUUUUGCUUGAGGUUAUUCUAUACUAGUAGCAAGCCUUUUUUGUGCACGGUCAAGAGUAGAUCGAGAAAGCAGUUGUUUUUAAGGGCAAAACAAUUGUUCUUGUUCCUUGAAAAAGUUGGUCAAAACAUUUUCCCAACCAUUUUUUUAUUUAAACAGUAAGAUAAAGGGCAACGAGGACUGUUUAAUGCCAUUUCUACAUGGUAGAAAAACAAUUCAAUGCUAAUUUUUAUCCAAGAUAUUCAAAGUUUUGGUGUUAUUGGCAAAGAGAGUACCCGCAAGAGUGGUUGUGACAUGUACAUGCAAAACUGUUUGCAAUGAUUAUGCUAUUAUUAUGAUAAAAAUGGUGCAAAGUACGGCGUUAAAAUGGGCUCUCUCCUUGUACAUAGCACAAUACAUAAGUGAUUGUGAUCAUAAAUGUAUUGAAUUACA
rnacentral:lncRNA from 1 species